UGCUGCCCCCAGGCCGGGCCCGGCGGCGGUGCGAUCGGCGGAGAAGCGGCUGAGGGCUGAGGAGAGCCGUGGUGCUGGUGGGUGCUCGUGCGGCCAAGUGCCCGGCACCGUGCUGCAGCCCUCGGGUAGGCGACAGCUGUAGGCUGAGUGCUUCCCGGGUUUCUCCUGAAGCCAGACCACUUUCUCUUUCGGCACUUUUAUAAAAGAAAUCGCUCCAAAUGAGCAUAUCCCACAGUUUAUUUUACUUAGGAAUCGCACUGGUGAAUUACCCAUGUGUGCAGAAGAGACCUUGGCAGCGAUGUGCUGAUCUGUGAGGCCGUGCAGGAGCUUCCCUGUGCUGCGCAGUGUCCAGCUCCUCGUACCACAGAGAGGACAAGGGCCACACAGCGCUGUUGUGUUGCGAUGUUUCACAGUUACUGGGUGAAAUGAUUGGAAAAUGGUUUGGCUGUUCACCCACAGGGCCUAGCAUCCUUUGGCCUUCAACAACUGCCUCAGUGAAAUUACUGCAUGUACCAAUUUUAAUGAAACUUACGGAGACAGUGAAAACGGUGAUAGAAGGAAAAUUCUGAAUGACCACUUGGAAGUGAAACCUAUGAAAUGAGGCAUAUAACCUAGAUACACCCUGACAGCUGGCUGACAUGUACAUAGGAAUGCCAGCAGGCACAUCGAUUAUGCCAUCUAUGAGGAUCAGGUGCUAGGAGCAUGCAGCAAGGAUGAAGCACAACCUUUGAGUGAAGAAAACAUGACCAGAGAGAAGUGUUUGGCUGGGAAAGAUGACAGUUAAGAGAACAUGAACAACAUUUUCUCCUGAUACUGCUCCUUGAAAUGAAAGCUCACAGAAGUUCACAAGCUGCCAUGUUCCUUGAAAUGUUGAAAUCAAGCUUGCAUUACCACACAGGACCGAGGCAACUCACCAGGUAGAAGGCAUGAGACUGCUUCCUGUGGCUACUCAGACCCGUGGGCUGGGCAUGUUGAAUUGGCACCAUCACGUCCCAUCAGCAGGAAACCGGCUAAGAAAUCAUCACUGUGAAGGAGCAGGGGGUUGAUGCUUGCCAUGGGUGGCCCCAUGGUGGCACAGAAGGUGUGCUGAGAGGGACCAUACCCCAGGGUGGCUUCCACAUGUCUCAGUGGCUCAGCUGUCACCCUGCAGGUCCCUGAGUCCUUCUGAACCAGGAUCUGGGAAAUAACAAAUUAGAGACUAUUCCUGCAACAUGUUGAAGAAGCAGCUUUCACGAGUUGCUCAGCAUGGUGUAGGCAGUCUUGCUGGCUGUAACAAGUUGUCAAUAACCUGUUGGUCCAUCAAGUUAUGCAAAGACACAGUCACAAGCAUAAAAUCUAUGGGGAAAGGGAUAUAUAUUCAUGUAGAUUUCUUCAAUGGAAAAUAAACACUUUCAAGUAUUUUACAGUUACUAAGACAGUACUUUAAUCAAGCAAACUUCAGAUCUUCUCAGAUUUGCUCCAUUAGUAUUAUAGAAAAAUACUUUUUAACCAUUUCUAAAUAUGUCUUUUUCUUUCAGAGAACUUUUCAGACUAUGCUCAAUGAGAGUGUUUUUUCUUGAGGCUUGAGAUCAGAAUUGUCUCUCAGAAUGCAAACAUAUCUGCAUUAUCAAAAUUAUGUACAUGCAUGUUUGAACAAAUCACAUGAGAAAUGUCAUCAAGAUUCUGUCUACUAUUUUCACCAAAGCAAACUAUUUGUAGGUAGGAGAAAAAUGUAUCUUCAGGACAAAGUGACUGAUUUCCUGGUGGGCCACACACACUGUGAAGAGUAGCAUCCAUAUGUUGAAAGCCAUAAAUGCUACAAAUCAUUCAAUUACAUCGAUAAUGAAAGAUACUGCUACCAAUUUUGCUGUUUCCAAGACUAAGCACAGGCUGGCAUACCCCAUUUUCCUGAAUAUUUAGGUUGGGUUGACUAAGUGAUAAAAUCAUGAUUUCAUAGGAAAAGCUAACCAAUAAUGUAGCAGGUGUCUUUGCCUGACAGUCAUCAAUGGCAGAUUAUUGUAAAAGCAUGAAGUAUGCAAUAAAAACCCUUCA